CCUACGGGUGGCAGCAGUGGGGAAUAUUGGACAAUGGGCGAAAGCCUGAUCCAGCCAUGCCGCGUGUGUGAAGAAGGCCUUCGGAUUGUAAAGCACUUUCAGUGGGGAAGAAAGCCUUGGGGCUAAUACCCUCGAGGAAGGACAUCACCCACAGAAGAAGCACCGGCUAACUCCGUGCCAGCAGCCGCGGUAAUACGGAGGGUGCGAGCGUUAAUCGGAAUUACUGGGCGUAAAGCGCGCGUAGGCGGUCUGAUAAGCCGGUUGUGAAAGCCCCGGGCUCAACCUGGGAACGGCAUCCGGAACUGUCAGGCUAGAGUGCAGGAGAGGAAGGUAGAAUUCCCGGUGUAGCGGUGAAAUGCGUAGAGAUCGGGAGGAAUACCAGUGGCGAAGGCGGCCUUCUGGACUGACACUGACGCUGAGGUGCGAAAGCGUGGGUAGCAAACAGGAUUAGAUACCCGAGUAGUC
rnacentral:rRNA from 1 species